GACGAACGCUGGCGGCGUGCUUAACACAUGCAAGUCGAGCGGAGCGGCGAACGGGUGAGUAACGCGUGAGUAACUGCCCCCCUCUUUGGGUUAACAGUUGGAAACGGCUGCUAAUACCGGCUAGUGGGGGCUGACUCGCGUCCUAUCAGCUUGUUGGUGGGGUAGUGGCCUACGAAGGCGACGACGGGUAGCCGGCCUGAGAGGCCGACCAGCCACAAUGGGCUAAGAUACGGCCCAACCUGCUACGGGAGGCAGCAGAGGGGAGUAUGACACAAUGGGGGAGACCCUGUUGCAGCAGCGCCGCGUGCGUGAUGACGGCCUUCGGGUUGUGAACCGCUUUCAGCCAUGACGCGGUAGUGGCAGAAGAAGCACCGGCUAACUACGUGCCAGCAGCCGCGGUAAUUC
rnacentral:rRNA from 1 species